GACGAACGCUGGCGGCGUGCCUAAUACAUGCAAGUAGAACGCACAGUUUAUACCGUAGCUUGCUACACCAUAGACUGUGAGUUGCGAACGGGUGAGUAACGCGUAGGUAACCUGCCUGGUAGCGGGUGAUAACUAUUGGAAACGAUAGCUAAUACCGCAUAAUAUUAAUUAUUGCAUGAUAAUUAAUUGAAAGGUGCAAUUGCACCACUACCAGAUGGACCUGCGUUGUAUUAGCUAGUAGGUGAGGUAACGGCUCACCUAGGCGACGAUACAUAGCCGACCUUGGAGGGGGAGCGGGCACACUGGGACUGGGAGACGGGCCAGACUCCCACGGGGGGGAGCAGGAGGGGAUCUUUGGCAAUGGGCGAAAGUGUGAGCGGGCGAAGCCGCGUGAGUGAAGAAGGUGUUCGGAGCGUAAAGCACUGUUGUAAGAGAAGAACGGGUGUGAGAGUGGAAAGGUCACACUGUGACGGUAUCUUACCAGAAAGGAACGGCUAACUACGUGC
rnacentral:rRNA from 1 species